UUUUGGACAAAAAGGCAAGUUUAAGUUGAAUUGAUAUUAAACACAAAUAAACUCUUAAAUGUCAGUAUUUUUUAGUCAAAAUGUUUUGUAUACUUUUGUUUAAUCUUGUCGUAAGUCAAAGAAUGUUUACAUUGGGAAAACUUGUAGUCACUAUAUUACAUUUAUUUUGUAAUAGAUUAGAGUUUACUAUUUUGAAGGGUCUUUUUUGUCUUUCUAUCAUACCUACUUGAUUUAGUGUAUCUUAUUUGAAUCUUUCAUUUCUUAUUAUGUGACAUUUCCCUACGGUUCAAAAACAUGUUGUAUUAAAAAUUUAAUAUUUGGUAUGGAAUAAUUUUGUUUUCUGUGGUUUAACUUCUAUAAUUUUUACAUUCAAGAUGCCUUAAUUUUCAGAAUGUGCAGAGAUAGAAAAUUUUAUCUUUUGGGAAAGACUGUUUAAAAAUUAAGAUUUUUAAAAACCUUGUGUUGUUUGGAGUGGUGUUGAUGAGUUGCAUGAUUGUAUGGUUUUCAUUACUAAUCAGUUACUUAGUGACAGACGCUUUGUUCAUUUUCAUUCUUUUGUUUUCUGAGCAAUUCUUAAAAUGAAAAACUCAUCAACAUUAUGCUUCAUAUGUAGUACAGUUCAACUUUGCUAACGUAAAUAAAUUCUUAUUUUUGUGUAGCUGAAUGCCCUCAAUCGUUAAGAUUCAGAAAGGUGAAACAAAUGAAAAAUUCAAUUACUUAUACUUAUGUCUCACCUGUUUUGGGAAACAUUUUUUUAAACUUACAAUUGUCCAAGGGCAGUCAAUUUAUUACUUGCAAGUAUUUUAAUUGGUUCAAGAAAUAAUGUCUAAGUUUUGAUAUGUUAGAACUGAAACGUAUUAAAACAUUUAGAAAUGUCGAUUUAAGUCACUUCGGCUUAGCAAGUCAUUCAAGCUGAAAAUAGUGGUACUUUCUGCCAUUAAAAACGUUUGAUAAUUUGGGAAGCAAGGCUGAUAAAUUUUGUUCUAUUGCCUUCAGUAGUUUUGAAAAUUAGGGGCUUUAUGAGUUUUAGAAACAUAGGCAGUAUGUUUUCUUUUGAAGUUCCUCUAUACCAGUCUUUUAAUAGCUACCUACCUACACAAGCACAGCAAACAUCUUCAACUGGUCCUCUAACAGCUACAUACACACACUCAUUCUACUCAGCCACACCACUUUGUAAAUGAGUGCCCUGACGAGAAAUGAAAGCAGAAAUAUAUUAAUCUGAUUUGUCUGAAGAGGCUUCGGAUGAUAGAGCAUAUCACAGGUGUUUCUAAUCAAGUUAUUUCUGUUUUGAAAACAGUAUUUUCAAGUUAGUGCUGCUUUGAACACUGGCAAGCUUGGGGUCAUUUUGAAGACCUUACCUCUGUGUUCCAGGAUCAACUGUGGAACUCCAGGAGGCAGAAAUCUGUUGAAUGUCUUCAUACUAUAAUACAUGACGUUUUUAUUGCAGGUUUUGACCUUUAGGAGAGAGCCAAUUCUGGAGAACAACCUAACUUCUUUGAUUGAAUACUCACAUAAAUCACUGGAACGUGAUAGGAAAGUAACGAAUUUUUUAAGGCUUAAUAAUGGUUAAAAUGAAGACAAUAAUAAAAUAAGUCUCUACUUAACCGAGAAAUUCGUACCUUUUGCCGGUGAUUACCCCAGUCUGUGUCUUGACUGGUCGGUUUCACAGUUCCUGUUAUAUCCAAAAUAGGAAAAAAUUGUCCCAACAUUGUUAUCGAAUCUUAAUGGAUACCUAAUCCUGAAGAGCAACAAAAUGGAAGAUCUCACAAUAGCAAAUUUCAACUGAUAAAUCCAUGCUAAUUUAAAUUAUGGUAGAAUCAUAAUAACAAACAUGAUGCAAAGGUCUAUAAAUAAAACACUGCAUGGGGCUGGCAUUGUGGUAUAGCAGUUGAAACUGCUGUCUGCAACACCAGCAUGC